AAACAGGACUUUUACUUUGAAAAAAUUAGAGUGCUCCAGGCAGGCCUAUGCUCGAAUACAUUAGCAUGGAAUAAUAGAAUAGGACGUGUGGUUCUAUUUUGUUGGUUUCUAGGACCGCCGUAAUGAUUAAUAGGGACAGUCGGGGGCAUCAGUAUUCAAUUGUCAGAGGUGAAAUUCUUGGAUUUAUUGAAGACUAACUACUGCGAAAGCAUUUGCCAAGGAUG
rnacentral:ncRNA from 1 species